GAUGAACGCUAGCGGCAGGCUUAAUACAUGCAAGUCGUGGGGCAGCAUGAGUGUAGCAAUACAUUUGAUGGCGACCGGCAAACGGGUGCGGAACACGUACAGAACCCUCCUUCAAGCGGGGCAUAGCCCAGAGAAAUUUGGAUUAAUACCCCAUAAUAUAAUGAAGAGGCAUCUCUUUGUUAUUAAAGAUUUAUCACUUGAAGAUGGCUGUGCGGCUGAUUAGGUAGUUGGCGGGGUCACGGCCCACCAAGCCUGCGAUCAGUAACUGGUGUGAGAGCACGACCAGUCACACGGGCACUGAGACACGGGCCCGACUCCUACGGGAGGCAGCAGUAAGGAAUAUUGGUCAAUGGACGCAAGUCUGAACCAGCCAUGCCGCGUGGAGGAUGAAGGUCCUCUGGAUUGUAAACUUCUUUUAUAUGGGACGAAAAAAGGCUUUUCUAAGUCGUCUGACGGUACCAUAUGAAUAUGCACCGGCUAACUCCGUGCCAGCCGCCGCGGUAAAAC
rnacentral:rRNA from 1 species